UACGUAGGGUGCAAACGUUGCUCGGAAUCAUUGGGCGUAAAGCGCACGUAGGCGGUCUGGCAAGUCGGGUGUGAAAGCCCUCGGCUUAACCGAGGAAGUGCAUUCGAAACUACCGGACUUGAAUACUGGAGAGGGUCGCGGAAUUCCCGGUGUAGAGGUGAAAUUCGUAGAUAUCGGGAGGAACACCAGUGGCGAAGGCGGCGACCUGGACAGAUAUUGACGCUGAGGUGCGAAAGCGUGGGGAGCAAACAGG
rnacentral:rRNA from 1 species